AUUCUUUUGGAACAGACAAAAAAAAAUAGUUCUCCAAAGCCUUGCUUAAUCCUUAUUUUAGCACUUGCUUUUUUGUGAUUACAUAAAUGAAAAUAACUCAUUAUUUUAAAAAGUCUUUAGGGGGACACAUCAUUAGCAGGCAUCCAGAUUCAGAUCUGAAUCCCAUCCUGGCUGUGGGUAACUGUACCCUCAACUUGCUAUCAAAAGAAGGAAAACGACAGAUUCCUUUAAAUGAGCAAUUCCUCAGCAAGUGCCCUAAUGCAGAUCUUAAGCCUCAAGAAAUCUUGGUCUCAGUGAACAUCCCCUACUCAAGGAAGUGGGAAUUUGUGUCAGCCUUCCGACAAGCCCAGCGACAGGAGAAUGCGCUAGCGAUAGUCAAUUCAGGAAUGAGAGUCUUUUUUGGAGAAGGGGAUGGCAUUAUUAGAGAGUUAUGCAUCUCAUAUGGAGGCGUUGGUCCAGCCACCAUCUGUGCCAAGAAUUCCUGCCAGAAACUCAUUGGAAGGCACUGGAACGAAGAGAUGCUGGAUACAGCCUGCAGGCUUAUUCUGAAUGAAGUCUCCCUUUUGGGCUCGGCGCCAGGUGGGAAAGUGGAGUUCAAGAGGACUCUUAUCAUCAGCUUCCUCUUCAAGUUCUACCUGGAAGUGUCACAGAUUUUGAAAAAGAUGG
rnacentral:sRNA from 1 species